GAUGAACGCUAGCUACAGGCUUAACACAUGCAAGUCGAGGGGAAACGACAGAGAAAGCUUGCUUUUUCUAGGCGUCGACCGGCGCACGGGUGAGUAACGCGUAUCCAACCUGCCCAUCACUUGGGGAUAACCUUGCGAAAGUAAGACUAAUACCCAAUGACGUCCAUCGACGACAUCUGAAAUGGAUUAAAGAUUUAUCGGUGACGGUUGGGGAUGCGUCUGAUUAGCUUGUUGGCGGGGUAACGGCCCACCAAGGCGACGAUCAGUAGGGGUUCUGAGAGGAAGGUCCCCCACAUUGGAACUGAGACACGGUCCAAACUCCUACGGGAGGCAGCAGUGAGGAAUAUUGGUCAAUGGACGAGAGUCUGAGCCAGCCAAGUAGCGUGCAGGAUGACGGCCCUAUGGGUUGUAAACUGCUUUUAUAAGGGAAUAAAGUGGGAGUCGUGACUCCUUUUGCAUGUACCUUAUGAAUAAGGACCGGCUAAUUCCGUGCCAGCCGCCGCAGUAA
rnacentral:rRNA from 1 species